rnacentral:rRNA from 1 species
UGAGCCAAGUUUAGGGUUUUCUCAAAACCCAAGCAGUAUUGAACUGAAGAGUUUGAUCAUGGCUCAGAUUGAACGCUGGCGGCAGGCCUAACACAUGCAAGUCGAGCGGAUGAAGGGAGCUUGCUCCUGGAUUCAGCGGCGGACGGGUGAGUAAUGCCUAGGAAUCUGCCUGGUAGUGGGGGAUAACGUCCGGAAACGGGCGCUAAUACCGCAUACGUCCUGAGG